rnacentral:rRNA from 1 species
UCAGACGAUGCGUCAUGCAUAUCAAUAAGCGGAGGAAAAGAAACUAACAAGGAUUCCCCUAGUAACGGCGAGUGAAGCGGGAAGAGCUCAAAUUUGAAAUCUUAAAGGGUUUCCCUUUACGAAUUGUAGUUUAAAGAAGUGUUUUCUGUUGAGGUUUUGGUAAAAGUUCUUUGGAAUAGGACAUCAUAGAGGGUGAGAAUCCCGUAUUUGACCUUUACUUUCAACUUUGUGAUACACUUUCAAAGAGUCGGAUUGUUUGGGAAUGCAGUCCAAAAUGGGUGGUAAAUUUCAUCUAAAGCUAAAUAUUGGCGAGAGACCGAUAGCGAACAAGUACCGUGAGGGAAAGAUGAAAAGAACUUUGAAAAGAGAGUUAAACAGUACGUGAAAUUGUCAAAAGGGAAGCGUUUGACACCAGUGUUGUUUUUCUGAAAAUCAAUUAAAGAACUGUUUAUGCUAAGUUGUUUAGACUUUAUCAGCUAUCUGUUUAGUUUUGAGCUUUUCUUUAAUGCACUUUUCAGUUAACAAGUCAACAUCAAUUUCUUUUGCUGUAAAAAAGCUUGAGGAAGGUGGCUUGAGAUUCGUCUUAAGUGUUUAUAGCCUCUUGCCUAUGCAGUCGGAGAGAUUGAGGUCUGCAGCGUAGAUCCUUCGGGGCUAAAUGCAUUUGUGCUAAGUUAUAGCAUUUUAUAGACAACUUGUUGACUAUGAUUUGUCUUGUAGCUUACUCGCUUAUGUUAUUUUACCUACGCUUAGGAUGUUGACACACGCGCGUGCUCG